rnacentral:lncRNA from 1 species
GUAUAGAGUCAAAGAUAAAGAGAGACAACAAUACAGUGUAGCAGGGAAGAAAAUUGACCGCCAUUGAAGCUUAAACAAACUCUAUAAUUCCAACUGAAAAAAGAAGAAGUAACAAGUAUACAGAAGCUUGAACUUAGAUCCGACAGUUGCGGAACCAAAAUGGGAGAAAUGGCAACUGGAAGUUCUUUCACGGCGUUACUUGAACUGCCGGCGAAUCAAGCGGUGGAGCUUUUAGUUCAUUCAUUGGAAACCGACAAAACCGGUGAACCUCACAUACCUCACUAUCGUUAUCUUCCUCCUCCUCAUCCUCCUCCUCAUCCUCCUCCUCCUCCUCUACCCAUUUUUCCUUCGGAUGCAGCUUUGAUUGACAGAGCUUCUAAGUUCUCCGUCUUCGCCGCCACCGCCGCCGGAAUUUCGCCGGAGUCCAAUUCUACUCUUUCCAAUUCAUGCUCAAAAUCACUUUUAGUCAAACAAGAACCGCUAGAGUCCGAACUAUCGUUAUCUUCCUCCUCCUCCGCCGCCGCCGCCCAUAUUUCCUUCGGAUGCAGCUUUGAUUGACAGAGCUUCUAAGUUCUCCGUCUUCGCCGCCGCCGCCGGAAUUUCGCCGGAGUCUAAUUCUACUCUUUCCAAUUCAGGUUCAAAAUCACUUUUAGUCAAACAAGAACCUCCAGAUUCCGAAUUUAACCAGAAUUCAUCGCCAAUUACCGUUUCCAAUCCGACGGUUAAUCAAAAAACAACUAAGAGAAAGGAACGUGAGAAAAAGGUAAUUUCAACACCACCGUGUAGCCUCUGUCCUAUUUUAUAUGACUCUUUUUAUUCUUAUUCUGUGUCCAGUCAAAUAAACUAACUUAGAUUUAGGUAACAGAAGGAGUAAUAAUUUAAUUUUACUCUUAAUUUAUAGCCACUCAAAUGUUUAUGGCUUUUUUUAUAUAACAAGUUUCAAAUCCAUGUCCAUGAAACACUAAUUUUCACUAAUUUGGUAGGAGAAAAAUUGCAACUUAUUAUACUUUACGUUUUUUCUACUAUUUAAUUUCUAAGAAAUGUGAAAUGAAUUUUGGACCAAAGAAGUAGUAUAUGAAUUUCCAGUUUGUUCAGUAAUUUCUGUCAAAUUCAGGUAAAAGAAACUAGUACCAAAAAGGGCAAAAAAUCAACGAAUAAUACCUCAGAAGAUGAUGCAGAGAAGAUUCCAUACGUUCACGUCCGAGCUCGUAGAGGCCAAGCGACAGAUAGCCAUAGCUUAGCAGAAAGAGUAAGGCUCAAAAACCUAAGCGCAAUUAGUGUUUUGGUAAAUUUGGUGAUUACAUCUAAUUAAGAUUGUAAUUUUCUUAAUUAUAUGUAGGC